rnacentral:tRNA from 1 species
UACAGUAGCUCAGUUUGUAGAGCAUGAGACUCCUAAUCUUAGGGUUGUAGGUUCGAGCCCCACGUUGGGCAAAA